UCUCGGCAAAUUAUCCUCAUAAGUUUGACGAUAAGAGGAACCGUAUAUAUUUUAAUUAGCCAUAAUUAGAAAUUUUAUUACGGUAUAAUAAAAUCGGAAGCCCCGACUGUUUACUAAAAACACAAUUCAGAGCAAUGAUUAAGAUCAUAGUAUUCUGAAUGAAAUUUGCCCAAUGCCAUUAAUAUAAGAGAGGUGAUAGGAAACUGUUACUAAUCGAAAGUCUGGUUAAUAGCGGUCUUAACUAUGAGGAUCCAAAGGUAGCAAAAUAAAUUGGCCAUUAAAUGUGGUCUGGUAUCAAUAAUGUAACGAUGGCUUCACUGUCUCUACAACUUGCUCAGUGAAAUUGAAUUACCCGUGCAGAUGCGGGUUACCUCCAGGGGGACGGGAAGACCCUAUGCAGCUUCUCUGA
rnacentral:rRNA from 1 species